rnacentral:rRNA from 1 species
AGCGAACGCUGGCGGCAGGCCUAACACAUGCAAGUCGAACGAACUCUUCGGAGUUAGUGGCGGACGGGUGAGUAACACGUGGGAACGUGCCUUUUGGUUCGGAAUAACUCAGGGAAACUUGUGCUAAUACCGAAUGUGCCCUUCGGGGGAAAGAUUUAUCGCCAUUAGAGCGGCCCGCGUCUGAUUAGCUAGUUGGUGAGGUAACGGCUCACCAAGGCGACGAUCAGUAGCUGGUCUGAGAGGAAGACCAGCCACACUGGGACUGGGACACGGCCCAGACUCCUACGGGAGGCAGCAGUGGGGAAUCUUGCGCAAUGGGCGAAAGGCUGACGCAGCCAUGCCGCGUGAAUGAUGAAGGUAUUAGGAUUGUAAAAUUCUUUCACCGGGGACGAUAAUGACGGUACCCGGAGAAGAAGCCCCGGCUAACUUCGUG